UUUUUUUUUUGGCUGCACCUGCAGAAGUUCCCAGGCCAGGAACUUGCCACAGCAAUGACAACACUGUAUCCUUAACCCGCUGAGGCUGUGCCACCGGGGAACUCCCAAGAAAAUGUGGUGUUUAAAGUCACUUUGGACAAUUUAGAAAUGAGCAUCAUUGCUUUUUCUGUCCCUAAGCUGGUUACUAGAGAAAAGGGUUUCUGAAGCUGAGAUGAGAACUUCUGGAAGGGUCAUGAGCUCUAUGGCUCUGGAUGGCUUCCAGCUGGUUUUAGCAGGCGGCUCAGGUCUGGGGUGGUACAGAUAGCUAAGCCCCUGCUGAAAUCGAAUGUGGUGCUGGUGGGUGGGGUGGGAGCUCAGGGCGUGGUUAGGGGUACAGCCUCUGCAAUAGGACCCAUGAAGUUCCAGGUCCAGCUCCACCACGUAUGUGUGACCUUGGCCAAUCACUUGGCAUCAUUAAAAAGUAAAACAAAUAUGUAUAUAGAAAUAGGAUUCUUUUUUGGUUUUUGGCUUUGCCUAUGACAAGCAGAAAUUCCCAGGCCAUGGAUUGAACGAGCACCGUAGCGGUGAUUGGACCAUGAUGGUAAAUAACAUCAUGAUGUUAUCCGUGGAGAUCAUGAAAGACCUCAUAGGGUUAUGUCAAGGGCUAAAUGAGCCUGUCCAUUUUGGUCUUUAUUCCGGAGAGUAGUUCUUGGAGGACAGAGAAGGGAUUUAUCAAUCACUGAGAGAUUUCAGAGGAUGAAGAUUUUAACGAAAUUCAAAAACUAUCGCAAGAGGGCAAUACCUUGGUGGAAUUAACUUCACAUUUUGUUUUUAUUUGGCAAAAUCCCUCUGAGGUUCUUGUGUGUGGAGGGGUGUCUCACUCUCCCUACCACCUCUGACACUUGAAGCUAGACCAAGGCUGCUUGUCCAAGGACUGUGUUUUUUCAUUUUAAAAUUGGUCAGAGAAGGGUACUACUCACCAUAUUUAAAACCAACUUGACCCACUUUUGAGCUCUUGGUUUCCACUUAGCUUUUUCAAAAGCUUGGGGGAGGUUCUUACCCCAAAUGCCCUGGUGAAUGCUAGAAUUACAGGAUUUCUUCCCAAAGUACCUCUAAAGAACCAAUUAUACAAACUGUUGGUUAUAAGAGGAGUAAGUUUUGAGGGCCUGAUGUAUAACGUGGCGGCUAUAAUUGAUAGUGCUAUAUUAUAUAAUUGAAAUUGGCCAAGAGAGUGGAAAUAAAAUGUUCUAACAGGCACAAAAAGAUAAAUAUGUGAAGGGAUAUGUUAAUUAACUCCACAGGGGGAAUCUUCUCACAGUGAAUGUGUAUCUAAAAUCAUCAGUUGUACACUUUAAAUAUCUUACAAUUUCAUUUGUCACUUAUACCUCGAUAAACCUGGAUUAAAAAAAUAACAAAUGGUUGCACUUCAUCUCAAAUCGAGAAAGAUCGCUUUUAACCAAGAGGCUGGAGUUUCUUUUCCUCACUCCUCUCCCCAAUUCUCUUUUAAAAAAAUUUUUUUGUUAAAGUACAGUUAAUUUACAGUGGCAUGCCAAUUUCUGCUGUAUGUCAAAGUGAACCAGUCUCUCUCUAUAUGUGUGCAUAUAUGCAUAUGUAUAUAUAUAUACACACACACACACACACACACACAUUCUUUUUCUCAUAUUCUCAUAUUAUGUUCUUUCACAAGAGAUUGGAUAUAGGUGCCUGUGCUGUACAGCAGGACCUCACUGAUUAUCAAUUCUGAAUGUAAUAGUUGACAUCUAUGAAACUCAAACUCCCAGUCCAUCCCACUCCUUCUCCCUCCCCCUUGGCAACCACAAGUCUGUUCUCCAUGUCUCUGAGUCUGCAGAACAAAAGCAGACUCUCCCUACCUCUCAAUAUCACCCCAAAUCAAGAGUCUUUAGAUUCUCAAGUUUACUUAACAGAGGGGUCUCCCAAUGCUAUAACCAGCUACGCUUCCAACACGGCCAACACUUCAUGUUCACCCAUUACUGAGCUUCUUUCUCCUCAUUUCCCUCAAAAUAUGAGAACUAAGUGGGGAGCAGUGUGCCUGCCUGUGAGUUCUUCCCAUGUCCAAGGUCAUAGAGGGAUGGGAACUUGAGGCUUCAGCCUUGUGGGGCAAAGUGUGAACGUCUGUCUCAUUGUCCUGUGCUUGUCGGAAGGAGGUCUCCAGCCCAGAAGAGCCAGAGGUUGGUGCUGGCCCAUUUUCCAGGCCCUGGGAUCAGGGGCAUGGCCUUUGGAUCGGGUGCUGGCUGUCUGCAUCACCACACAGGCUCCAGGGAGCGGGCCUGGCUCCUUCUAUAACGCUCCUCCUCAAGUCCUCCCCCGCCCUGUCCCCCCCUCACCUGGGCUGCUCUGCCAGGUGGGAACCAUUCUCUCUACCCUCAGUGCAGAAGGAGCAACACUGGCCUCGUGGUGGGGGUGAACUCAGGACAGGCUUUUCUUCAUAAUUCUGAAUUUCCUAGGUUUUGUCAGUGUAAGCCAGACUCUUAAUGCUAUUUUAAUGCAGUUGUUUUGUGUGUGAAUAAUAUGCUCUUUUUGCCAAACCUCAAACCCUGGAACUAAGAUCUCAUAAAAAUGCCUAGAGUCCAAAGCUAAUAGCUGUUAUUCAGCUGUUAUGGGGUAAGGCCUACGAACGUUUCAGAUUGAUGUUAUUCUCACCAGGGCAGUGGGUGAUACGAACCUACUGAGGAGAGGCUGAGGCUCCAGAUGCUCAGGGUGCAGGCAGAGAUGAAUCCCAUCUGCCUGCUCUAGUCGCUCUUCCAGAUGGAGGUCUCUGGUGUAGAUUUUUAACCUUCAUUCCCUGUCAUAGUUUCCUCCUUCUUGAUCUUCAGCUCAGUGAAUAGCCUCACUCCCCACUCAAGCUGAAAGUUCUAGAAGUCAUCUUUGACUCAUGCCCCUGCCCCCCACCCCGUACACAUCUGAUCCCACCACACAUCUGAUCACUUCAACGUUCAUUCAACAAGGUUUUUCGUUUUUUUGUUUGUUUGUUUGUUUGUUUUUUCGGCUGCACCUGUGGCAUAUGGAAGUCCCUGGGCCAGGGAUUGAAUCCGAGCUGGAGCUUCCACCUAUGCCACAGCUGCAGCAAUGCCAGAAACUUAAUCCACUGCGCCACAGCAGGAGCUCCUCAACAGGUAUCUAGUGAGAGCUAAGUGCUUGCCUGGCACUCUGCUGGAUAGGCUGGUAAAGUGGCAGCCUGCUUGUAGGAGAGAACAUAGGGUCAUGGUUAAGAGUGUGGACUCUGGAAUUCCCUGAUGUCUCGGUGAGGAUAUUGGUUCCAUCCCUGUCCCUGCUCAGUGGCUUAAGGAUCCAGUGUUGCUGCAAGCGGCGGUGUAUGUCAGAGAUGAGGCUGGGGGCCGGCGAUGCAUGGCUGUAGUGUAGGCUGGCAGAUGCAGCUCCAAUACCACCCCCCUAGUAUAGGGAACUUCCAUGUGCUGCAGGUGCUGCUGUAAAAAAAGAAAAUGUGGCCUCUGAAGAGCCAGAGGUCAUGAGCUGGCUCUGCCAUUAUUAGCUCUGAGACCUUGGGGGCAAGGUCUUUCUGUCUCCUUAAGUGAAGUGGGGGUAAUCAUAGCAUCGGGCUUCACGGUUUCAUUUUGGCACCUAAAUGAAUUAUAGUUUUUAAUCCACUUGGUGUCUGGUAUACUGUAAAUAUGCCAGUGCUUGAAAAAUAAAACAAUGGGGGAGAGAUUGGUACUGAGUCUUCACACAAACAUGUGAAGUGGCAGGUGGAGAGGGUGGUGGCCCUGUGAAGUCUGAGGAGCCCCAGUUGGGCUUUGAAGGAUGAGUGGGUGUCAAAGUCCCGAGGGCUUCAUCUCCCGCCACUGUGCUUGUUCAAGCCUUGGUGACCUCACGCCUGGGGCCUCUGAGUGGUCUUCCUUCCAGCUCCCCUCCUCUGCAGUGGAGUUUUUCUAAACCUUAAGUCUGAUGGGGUCUUUUCCUUAAUGGCAUUCUGCAGGGGCUCCCAAGUUCCCUCAGGCCUGUAGCCAAGUAUCCUCAGUAGGCUUACAAGGACCUGCAUCAUUUUCCUGCCAGCAUCGUCUCGGUCCCCGCUUUGCUCACCUCCUCAACCCCUAGGAUACACCCUCACACGCUUUGCUUCAACCAUGGGGAAUUUCUUUUAGUUCUCUCUGCAGGUCACAGGCUUUCUCCCCUCCGGUCCAUGGCUCUUUUUCUCACCCCCACUGGGCAUCUCUCUGCUCUACCCCCCCUUUCCCGGGCGAGCUUCUAUCAUCCCCGAGACCUCAGCCUCAACCUCGCUCCUGGGGCGGCCUUCCUCAGGCUCCAUGGCUCGAGUGAGGACUUUUGCUGUGAUUUUCUACAGCCCCUCCUAGUGCCCCUACUGUGGAGUUGGUCAUUUAUCAAUCGUGUCAUUUUUCUCUACUCUCUGCAAUCCCACCAAGCUCUGGGAGGGUAGAAGUUGCCUUUCCUGUUCAAGGGUACCCCCUGCCCCCCGCAUUCAGCACAGCGCUGGGCACAUGGUCAGCGCACAAUACCUCUUAUGGGUUGACUUAUGUCUUCCCCCCAAGUCCAUAUAUGUUGAUGCUCUAACCUCUGAACGUGACCUUACUUGGAGAUGGUGUUGCAGAUGUCAUUAGUUAAAAUGAGGUCAUCUUGGAAUAGGGUGAGUCCAACCGACCCAACCCGAGAAUCACCACAUGAAAAGAAAGACAUGCACAUAGAGGGAAAGUGACGUGAAGAUAAUACAGGGAAAAGAUAUUCAUCAACACGCCAAGGGAGGUGGCCCGGAGAAGACACCUCCCUCAUCGCCCUCAGAGGGUACCAAGCCUGCAGACACCUUGAUCUCAGGCUUGGCCUCAGAAUCAAGAGAUGAUACACUUCCUUUAUUUAAGCCACAUGGUGUGUGGUAUUUUGUCACGGCAGCACUGGAAAACAAAGACGACCUCUUUCUUCACAGACCGGGUUUCCAGCUCUUUUCCAUGUGCUCCUAUAAGAAAGGACUUGGCCCGAUUGCCAACAUCCCCUCAGCAGCUCCACAUUCCACAAAUAGAUGGCUCCACAAGAAUGGCAGGCCCAGGUGGCUGUUAGUCAUCACAGCAAGCGGCCAAUUUUAGCUUCCAACGACCCCCUUCUCCCUGGGCAUUCCAAGAACUUCACCCAAGUGGGCAGGGGAGGUGCCCCUCUCAGCAAAGCGCCCACAGCAGGGGGGACGGGAGCGGAUGGGCAGGCAGGUGCCUGCUGUUCCCUCCCAGCCAGAAGCAGCAGCUGAGCAGGAACCGGGCUGAGCCAUGCACAGGGGCAAAGAGAAACAAGAGCUGGCGUGUGGAGCCAGAGCCAUGCUCUUUCUGGACUCCGGAGCCACACCACGGGAUGUCGGGGCAGGCUGUGCAGAAGCCAACAUGUCAGGGAGGAACUCCCCCUACCCCCCUUCUUAAAGGACGCUCCCCUUCUCUGUUUGAUUGCAGCCUCUAAUAAGCAAUUCUUUCAAAUUUCUUCUGACUUCAGAAGUUCAGAGUACGUUGAGCUAAAGAAACACCAGGAUCGUAAUUACGGUUAUUAUAGGGAGCUGUUGUAUGCCCAUCGCCACGGCAUCUGGCUGUAAUCACAUGCUUGAUGGAAUGCAAGACGAUCCACGGCUCAUAAUGGGCACUUUCUGAGCCAGGCAGCCACCAAGCGCCCACCCUCCCACUUGGAGGCCCAAGAGAACAGAUGUUUGUGGAAAGAGAGGAUGCCUGUGCCGGUCUGGAGGGCCAGUGACCUCGGCGUGGUGCUCAGGGAGAGACAUUCUAUAACCAGGUCUUGGAGCUCCUACUGUUCUGACCACCGAGCAAGGGCAAGAAGUGGGCUCUCCCCUGACUCUGGGCAGCAGGAAUGGGUUGCCACUGGAGGUGGGGGCGGGUGGUCAUCUCUGAUCACAGUGAGUCUCACAGAUGGCAAAGUGGAAAGGUGUGACUCUGGGAUGUAGACCCCAGCCUCUGUCCCCACUCCCCAGCAGCCAGGAUGCUCCCACACUCUGAAAAAGCUGAAGAAAAAUCUCUCGUUAAACAGUUCCUGAGGCAUAAUGGUCAAUGUCUGCUCAGGCUGCCAUAACAAAACACCACAGGCCAGGUGCCCGAAAUGACAGCAUUUACUUCUCAGCAUUCUAGACAUUGGGAAAUGCGAGAGCAAGCUGCCGCAGAUUGGUUUCUUGGUGAGGGCUCUCUGCCUGGCUGCACAUGACCAUUUUGCCUUCUUGAUGUCUCCUCCCAUGGUGGAGAGAAGAGGCUCUGGUGAGUCUCAUAAGGGCACGAAUCCUGCCAUGGGGCCCCACCUGCAAGACCUCAUCUAACCCUCAUCGCUUCCCAAAUGCCCCGCCUCCUAAUGCCAUCACAUUGGGGUUAGGCUUUAACAUAGGAACUUUGGGGAGACAGAAACAUUCUGUCUCUAAGGGUUAAACUUGCUUUCUCUCUCUCUUUUUUUGUGCCUAUCAUGUCUUUCUUCACUCCUCAGUUUUGAGAGUCAAGACACCCACAGUUGGAGUUCCUGUUGUGGCUCAGUGGUUAAUGAACCCUACUAGUAACCACGAGGUUUUGUGGGUUCAAUUGCUGUCCUUGCUCAGUGGGUUAAGGAUCCGGUGUUGCCGUGGUGUAGGUCAAAGACACAGCUCUGAUUCUGCAUUGCUGUGGCUAUGGCGUAGGCCCGUGGCUAUAGCUCCAAUUAGACCCCUAGCCUGGGAACCUUCAUAUGUCGUGGUGCAGCCCUGAAAAAGACAAAAAG
rnacentral:lncRNA from 1 species